rnacentral:ncRNA from 2 species
AUUCGUUGCACUAUCGUUAACUGAAUACAUAGGUUAACGAGGCGAACCGGGGGAACUGAAACAUCUAAGUACCCCGAGGAAAAGAAAUCAACCGAGAUUCCCCCAGUAGCGGCGAGCGAACGGGGAGGAGCCCAGAGUCUGAAUCAGUUUGUGUGUUAGUGGAAGCGUCUGGAAAGUCGCACGAUACAGGGUGAAAGUCCCGUACACGAAAGCACACAGGCUGUGAACUCGAAGAGUAGGGCGGGACACGUGGUAUCCUGUCUGAAUAUGGGGGGACCAUCCUCCAAGGCUAAAUACUCCUGACUGACCGAUAGUGAACCAGUACCGUGAGGGAAAGGCGAAAAGAACCCCGGCGAGGGGAGUGAAAAAGAACCUGAAACCGUGUACGUACAAGCAGUGGGAGC